CAAGAGCGUAUGUAAAAGUUGUUGCAGUUAAAAAGCUCGUAGUUGAACCUUGGGUUUGGUUGGCCGGUCCGCUUUUUUGCGAGUACUGGAUUCAACCGAGCCUUUCCUUCUGGCUAACCAGUCGUUUCGGCGGCUGGCGAACCAGUAUUUUUACUUUGAGAAAAUUAGAGUGUUCAAAGCAGGCAUUAGCUUGAAUAUAUUAGCAUGGAAUAAUAGAAUAGGACGUUAUGGUUCUAUUUUGUUGGUUUCUAGGACCAUCGUAAUGAUUAAUAGGGACGGUCGGGGGCAUCAGUAUUCAGUUGUCAGAGGUGAAAUUCUUGGAUUUACUGAAGACUAACUACUGCGAAAGCAUUUGCCAAGGACGUUUUCAUUAA
rnacentral:rRNA from 1 species